AGUGGUCAGAUUAGUGAGUAGCAUUUUCUAUAAAAACAAGUUGGUUUCCAGUUCCAGACCAGGACUUUAAUGGAAUUCAAAAUGAGAAGAAAUGAAUGCCAGCCAUAAGAAGCUUUUAAGCAGCUCAAGAUUUCUCUUUAAGAGAUCCUGGCUCUUGCAGGUAAAUCCUAAAUUUAGCAUCCGGAUGAACAUCGAGGAUGAAGGCUUUUCUGGCUGGCUGCUCCCAAUAAUCACCUGCUAGAGAAAAUCUCAUUGUUCCAAGCCCUGAUCUCCGUGCAAAGGGCAGAAGAGCAGCUAUGGCUCAGGUUGAAUUAAAACUCUGACCUGUGCUAUAAUCAAGCAUAGCUGAACUGUGGGUCAGUGGCAGCACAGAUAAAACCGAAAGACCUGACAAUCCCAAACCCUUGCUGGAGCCAGUUAAGGGCUAGGGACCAGAUUGCUAUCCAGCAGGUCAAGGAGCUGAUUAACCAUCAAAACACCCCGGGCUAAGGCAUUCGUGAUGAGCAUAUCAUGAAUCUGAUGAAAUCAUUUGCAUCAAAUGCUUUAUAUAUGUUGAUAUAUGCCAGUAAACUAAGUAUUGACUGCCACGGGGCUUCUGUGAACUCGCAGGUCAGAAGUCUGGGAUGAUGAUGUUUUCAUCAUUGCUCAUCAAAGCACUAAAAGCUGACAUAUGCGAGGUUUGUAAAAUAAAUGAACAUAAUAUGCAUGAACUGAGUCACUCAGAUGUCUGCAUUAUAUCACAACAUAGAAGUUAUGACUGCUUAUUAAUGUAUAAAUAUCCGCAUUGUAUGUCAAACUUACCCUA